UUAUGGCUCAGGAUGAACGCUAGCGGCAGGCUUAACACAUGCAAGUCGAGGGGCAGCGGGAUGUAGCAAUACAUUGCCGGCGACCGGCGGAUGGGUGCGUAACGCGUAUGCAACCUACCUUAUACAGGGGAAUAACCUUUCGAAAGGGAGACUAACACCCCAUGGUAUUGAUUUAAGGCAUCUUAGAUUAAUUAAAUAUUUAUAGGUAUAAGAUGGGCAUGCGUAUGAUUAGCUAGUUGGUAAGGUAACGGCUUACCAAGGCGACGAUCAUUAGGGGUUCUGAGAGGAAGGUCCCCCCACACUGGUACUGAGACACGGACCAGACUCCUACGGGAGGCAGCAGUGAGGAAUAUUGGUCAAUGGGCGCAAGCCUGAACCAGCCAUGCCGCGUGCAGGAAAGACGGCCUUAUGGGUUGUAAACUGCUUUUACAUAAGACUAACCGUAUAUUUGCGAAUAUACCUGAAUGUAUUAUGAGAAUAAGGAUCGGCUAACUCCGUGCCAGCAGCCGC
rnacentral:rRNA from 1 species